rnacentral:rRNA from 1 species
UACGGGGGGAGCAAGCGUUGUUCGGAUUUACUGGGCGUAAAGGGCGCGUAGGCGGCCACCGCAAGUCGGUUGUGAAAUCUCCGGGCUUAACCCGGAAAGGUCAAUCGAUACUGCGGGGCUAGAGUGCAGAAGGGGCAACUGGAAUUCUCGGUGUAGCGGUGAAAUGCGUAGAUAUCGAGAGGAACACCUGCGGCGAAGGCGGGUUGCUGGGCUGACACUGACGCUGAGGCACGAAAGCGUGGGGAGCAAACAGG